UUAAGGUUUCGUGUGGCAAAUGUAUUACAUGUUUUGACAUAUGUACAUGGACAUGCAGCAAGAGGAAAAAUUGUCAGCUGAGUUAAAAUAGAACAAACAUUGAUCAAAAGAUUAACCGCUAACACACUGACUGAUUAAUUACUUUUAUCUUGCACAGCGGAAUUGUCAAAAAGGCACACACUGAAUACACCCACAUUCUGUCGUAAAAUGCUAGUGUAAACACAAUGUUCUUCCUUCAUUACGUUGAUCUAUUGCUCAUUGUUGUCUAACUAAAUUAUUUUUUUUAAAGAAUAGUCGACAUCAUGCAAAUAGUUGUCAGGUGUGCGAUCUUGGGUGACCAAAGAGAUUAUACACAAUAUGAAAAACUCUGAAACGUGAUCAGUUGAGAAAUCAGUGAUGGCAAUAUUCACCUGUGGCCUUCUUCAUAAUCUGCAACAGUUGCCGAGCCUC